UCUGUAGGCUGAUGAAGGUGCAUUGAGAAGUGUGCUGGAGGUAUCAGAAGUGCGAAUGCUGACAUGAGUAACGAUAAUGUGGGUGAAAAGCCCACACGCCGGAAGUCCCAGGUUUCCUGCACGACGUUAAUCGGAGCAGGGUGAGUCGGCCCCUAAGGCGAGGCUGAAGAGCGUAGUCGAUGGGAACCAGGUUAAUAUUCCUGGACUUUUUAUAAGUGGUGAAGUGGGGACGAAGAAGGCUAGGUGAGCCAGGCGUUGGUUGUCCUGGUACUUGCAUGUAGGGGGGAAGACUUGGCAAAUCCGGUUUUCCAUAACUCUGAGGUGCGAAGUGGUUCUGACCUUUUGGUACAGAGAAGUCAUUGAUGCCCGGCUUCCAGGAAAAGCUGCUAGCCAUAACUUAUAGAGAACCGUACCGCAAACCGACACAGGUGGACAGGUAGAGAAUACUAAGGCGCUUGAGAGAACUCGGGUGAAGGAACUAGGCAAAAUGGUACCGUAACUUCGGGAGAAGGUACGCCCUUUUGGGUGAGGGCAUUUACUGUCUGAGCUUAAGAGGGCCGCAGAGACCAGGUGGCUGC
rnacentral:rRNA from 1 species